rnacentral:rRNA from 1 species
UACGUAGGGCGCAAGCGUUAUCCGGAAUUAUUGGGCGUAAAGAGCUCGUAGGCGGUUUGUCGCGUCUGCCGUGAAAGUCCGGGGCUCAACUCCGGAUCUGCGGUGGGUACGGGGCAGACUAGAGUGAUGUAGGGGGAGACUGGAAUUCCUGGUGUAGCGGUGAAAAUGCGCAGAUAUCAGGAGGAACACCGAUGGCGAAGGCAGGUCUCUGGGCAUUAACUGACGCUGAGGAGCGAAAAGCAUGGGGGAGCGAACAGG